rnacentral:rRNA from 1 species
GACGAACGCUGGCGGCGUGCUUAACACAUGCAAGUCGAGCGGAAAGGCCCUGCUUGCAGGGUACUCGAGUGGCGAACGGGUGAGUAACACGUGGGUGAUCUGCCCUGCACUUCGGGAUAAGCCUGGGAAACUGGGUCUAAUACCGGAUAGGAGCCAUUUUUAGUGUGAUGGUUGGAAAGUUUUUUCGGUGUAGGAUGAGCUCGCGGCCUAUCAGCUUGUUGGUGGGGUAAUGGCCUACCAAGGCGGCGACGGGUAGCCGGCCUGAGAGGGUGGACGGCCACAUUGGGACUGAGAUACGGCCCAGACGCCUACGGGAGGCAGCAGUGGGGAAUAUUGCACAAUGGGCGCAAGCCUGAUGCAGCGACGCCGCGUGGUGGAUGACGGCCUUCGGGUUGUAGACUCCUUUCGCUAGGGACGAAGCUUUUUGUGACGGUACCUAGAUAAGAAGCACCGGCUAACUACGUG